rnacentral:rRNA from 1 species
UUUAUUGGAGAGUUUGAUCCUGGCUCAGGAUGAACGCUGGCGGCGUGCCUAAUACAUGCAAGUCGAGCGAAUGGAUUAAGAGCUUGCUCUUAUGAAGUUAGCGGCGGACGGGUGAGUAACACGUGGGUAACCUGCCCAUAAGACUGGGAUAACUCCGGGAAACCGGGGCUAAUACCGGAUAAUAUUUUGAACCGCAUGGUUCGAAAUUGAAAGGCGGCUUCGGCUGUCACUUAUGGAUGGACCCGCGUCGCAUUAGUUAGUUGGUGAGGUAACGGCUCACCAAGGCAACGAUGCGUAGCCGACCUGAGAGGGUGAUCGGC